rnacentral:lncRNA from 1 species
UCGGCAAGUUGGGACGACCGAUAAGGAGAUUGGCAAAUCACUAUGUGCUUCAUGCCACUUUGAAACAGAAAAUGGACAUAAAUUCAUAUGGAGUGCUGUAGCACUAUAAUCGUAUAUUAUGUAUUAAUAUAUGUUAUGUUUUAUUAUGCUCUGUUAUAUAAUACUAUGCAAUGUCCUUUAUGAUAAUUUUGUCAUAUAAAUAUACUUUUUCAUUUUGUUUAACAAACACAUGUUAGAGUGCCACAGUAUUUUAUAAAUAUAGUUACCAAACAACAAAUAGCUUUAUAUAAAAGCUCUACUUCAGAAAGCUUUACCGCCAACAGCUCCUUCAAACAGGGCUUUAGGCUUAGUCUAGUCCAAAAUCAUGAGAAACCAGACCUCUCCCAUAAGGGCCUGUCUUUGGAGGAGAAAUCCU